AUUGAACGCUGGCGGCAGGCCUAACACAUGCAAGUCGAGCGGAUGAAGGGAGCUUGCUCCUGGAUUCAGCGGCGGACGGGUGAGUAAUGCCUAGGAAUCUGCCUGGUAGUGGGGGAUAACGACCGGAAACGGGCGCUAAUACCGCAUACGUCCUGAGGGAGAAAGUGGGGGAUCUUCGGACCUCACGCUAUCAGAUGAGCCUAGGUCGGAUUAGCUAGUUGGUGGGGUAAAGGCCUACCAAGGCGACGAUCCGUAACUGGUCUGAGAGGAUGAUCAGUCACACUGGAACUGAGACACAGUCCAGACUCCUACGGGAGGCAGCAGUGGGGAAUAUUGGACAAUGGGCGAAAGCCUGAUCCAGCCAUGCCGCGUGUGUGAAGAAGGUCUUCGGAUUGUAAAGCACUUUAAGUUGGGAGGAAGGGCAGUAAGUUAAUACCUUGCUGUUUUGACGUUACCAACAGAAUAAGCACCGGCUAACUUCGUG
rnacentral:rRNA from 1 species